GUUUUAGUGGCGAAAUGGCAAACGCGUGUGCCUCAGGUACACAUUCCCUGUGGGUUCAAGUCCCACCUAAAACA
rnacentral:tRNA from 1 species